rnacentral:rRNA from 1 species
GACGAACGCUGGCGGCGUGCUUAACACAUGCAAGUCGAACGGAAAGGCCCUGCUCUUGUGGGGUGCUCGAGUGGCGAACGGGUGAGUAACACGUGAGUAACCUGCCCUUGACUUUGGGAUAACUUCAGGAAACUGGGGCUAAUACCGGAUAGGAGCUCCUGCUGCAUGGUGGGGGUUGGAAAGUUUCGGCGGUUGGGGAUGGACUCGCGGCUUAUCAGCUUGUUGGUGGGGUAGUGGCUUACCAAGGCUUUGACGGGUAGCCGGCCUGAGAGGGUGGCCGGCCACAUUGGGACUGAGAUACGGCCCAGACUCCUACGGGAGGCAGCAGUGGGAAAUAUUGCACAAUGGGCGGAAGCCUGAUGCAGCAACGCCGCGUGCGGGAUGACGGCCUUCGGGUUGUAAACCGCUUUCGCCUGUGACGAAGCGUGAGUGACGGUAAUGGGUAAAGAAGCACCGGCUAACUACGUG